CUCCUUCCUCAAGUGCUCCGGCAGUCGAGGAAGAAGACUCAGCCCAAUUGUUGAAAGCGCUGGUCGCUCGCAUCGAGUCGCUGGAAAGAGAGAAAGCAGCGUUUGCUGCUUCGGAAGCGCAGAUUGGUGGGGGCAGUAACACUGUGCUAAUAACGUCCGUAUUUUCCUGUAUUUCUGCCUUAGAAGGGGAGAAGCGAGCCCUGGUGCCUGUCAAUGAUGAGAGCCUGGUUGCAUCAACGCCGGUGGCCGCAGGAGCUGUUCCACCUUCUUCAGAGGCAGCUGUUGAGUCAGGAAGUGCUGCGACUAUUUUAGAACCUGUUCUGUUGGCAAAUAGACGUCGCGUCCUGAUUUGUGGGCACAGCUACGUACACUGAGCUGAGCGACAGGCGCACAGGGGUCCCUACGGCCAACUUCGCAGCCUCGCUUCCAUGGCAUUCGUGGAGAGGAGGGGAGGAAGAGGCCUUUUUGUGCUGUUAAUGAUUUGGGUCUGCCAAUGGGCAGGGGCCUGUUUUAUACAAGUUUAUGAAUUAUUUGUACAGGUUCGAUUGGCAUGCACAAGGUAAAGGAAUGUUUUUCCCUCUUACACGCUUGUUAUGGCUAUGUUUUUACAGAUUCGAUUGGCAGGCACAAGCUAAAGGAGUGUGUUCCCUCUAACACGCUUGUCAUGGCCCUAUUUGUACAGGUUCGAUUGGCAUGCACAAGGUAAAGGAGUGUGUUCCCUCUAGCACGCUUGUCAUGGCCAUGUUUGUACAAUUUUUGAAUGACAUGCACAAGCUUUGAGAGGUUUGGCCUCGAACUGGCUUAGCAUGGUCAGCAAUCAUUCCUAGGCCAAUCAGGCCCUUUGAAAAGUUUUAAAGAAUGGCAUAGGUUAUUGUAUCCCUCAUGACACCAUUAAGUUCAAUGAUGCGAAUUUGUAUCGGGCUGAUGGGAUCCAUCUGUCCGAACUGGGCAACCAAAUUUUCUUAGCUGACCUGCAAUAAGGAAUUAGGGAAAUUCUUUCGAAUUUGGUGGGGGUCAGGAGCUAAAUAGACAUUUGCUCCUGAACUGUGGCGGAAUGCUUAGGGGAAUCUCUUAUUUUGGUGUGCACCACAAGGCACCUCUGUUUUGGUGUUGGCCAGAGGCGUGAAUCCUCGCUUAGGGUUUGUACAGCCCCGGCGAGGGUGAACGAUUAUGGCCUUGGAAUGGGAGACUUUGACCUCAUUUGUUUCGGAGGCAAAACUCUCCAACACAUUCCCCUUUAGGUCAUCCAGGUUUAGAUAGACUGGGGACCUGGUGUUUCGCCCUAAAUUCAGUCUUAAUGGAUGGUCGGGUAUGACCACUAAUAUCGGCUUAUGCCUUACCAAAUUCUUAGAUGGCUAAGGAUUUUUGGCCCUAGUUCCAAAUUAAAGUUAAAUAGGUAACUAUCAAUAAAGUUGCCCAGUUUUAAACCCAAGCUUACUUGUCUUGUCUCGUUAUUUCGGAGGGUUGGAGGGCAAGAAACUUCCCCCCACUGCGCAGCUGGGGGAGGGAAGUGGAUUUGCCCCCUCCCAACGAAGGAGAGACUUCUAGAUGGGGGCGGGGCUUAUAGGAAGCUGCCCGCCUCUUAGAUCACUCACUUUUGGAGCUUCGACCCACCCGCCCGCCGCUAACAGUAUAGCAGUAGUGUGGUCGCUUAGAUGGGCCGGGUAGGAAUUUUUCCCCUCCCAUGUUCUGGGAGGGUUUUUUCGCCUACCCUAUACUGUGUGGAGUGGUAAAUUGGGAGGUGUGGUAAUUUAAUUAGGUGGUCAGCGGAAUGCUUAGGGGAAUCUCUUAUUUUGGUGUGCACCACAAGGCACCUCUGUUUUGGUGUUGGCCAGAGGCGUGAAUCCUCGCUUAGGGUUUGUACAGCCCCGGCGAGGGUGAACGAUUAUGGCCUUGGAAUGGGAGACUUUGACCUCAUUUGUUUCGGAGGCAAAACUCUCCAACACAUUCCCCUUUAGGUCAUCCAGGUUUAGAUAGACUGGGGACCUGGUGUUUCGCCCUAAAUUCAGUCUUAAUGGAUGGUCGGGUAUGACCACUAAUAUCGGCUUAUGCCUUACCAAAUUCUUAGAUGGCUAAGGAUUUUUGGCCCUAGUUCCAAAUUAAAGUUAAAUAGGUAACUAUCAAUAAAGUUGCCCAGUUUUAAACCCAAGCUUACUUGUCUUGUCUCGUUAUUUCGGAGGGUUGGAGGGCAAAUAAAAUUGCUGCCUAAAAUGCAAAGGGCUCAGUGCUACACUUUUUUCAGUGUAAUUAUGACUUGUCAUAAAGUUUUAGUUUCUCCAAACCUUUGUGUAAUCUGUCUGUGAGUAGCUUUCAUCCUCACUGGGCAUAAUCUAUGUUGUGUUGGUAGCUAAACCCUUGAAAGAGCUGCCUUUCUGAAAUAUCAUUACAGUAAGCAGGGGAGGGGAAUUUCUGAGGUGGGGGGAUGACUCCUGUAUAUAAUGUGCAAAUGUGAUUCAGACACGAUAAAGCCAGAAUAUCACUGGUUUUAAUUACCUUAAUUAAUUAAUUAAUUAAUUAAUUGUCACUUUUUGUUGGAAUUAUGAUGUCUUGGAAGUUUCUACUUUUUUCUUUCCUUAAAAUUGAUUUUCUGCCCAUCUGCUUCUCUAUAUCUCAUUCUUUCUUAAUCUGUUGGUGGUGUAUAUGGACACAAUGGUGUGCUUGAUUAUCUAGAAAGGAUCAGAGAGAUGCAGGGUAGAAAAGAAUGCAAAAUAGAAGUCAGAAGGCAAGCUUUGACAGCUCAUCUUAAGGAAAAAAUAUUUUUAUGAAUUUCUCUAGAUCUCUGCUGGUACAGGGAUACUGUAAAGAUGCUAAUAUGUCAAAUCAAAAUGCCACUUCUCUCUUAAAAUGCAAAUCCAGUUUUCUCUUUCUUCUUUCUCAGUUUAGCCACUUCCCUCAUAUUUAGGGACUUUUCAUGCAGUGAAGAGCUUGGAAAAGAUCACGAUGCUGGGGAAAAUGGAAGGAAAAAGGAAGAGAGGCCGACCAAAAGCAAGAUGGAUGGACGGUAUCCUUGAAGUGACUGGCUUGACCUUGAAGGAACUGGGGGUGGUGACGGCCGACAGGGAGCUCUGGCGUGGACUGGUCCAUGCGGUCAUGAAGAGUCGGAGACGACUAAACGACUGAGCAGCAGCAUGCAUGCAGUGAUUAAAGAACUGUAACCAUGUGCUCAAAGGGAUAUAUUGCUGCACACGGAUGACAAUUUCAACACCUUACAUAAAAUUGUAAUUAAAAAUUGAAUUUCUAAGUCUGAUUAAAUCAUUAUUAUAGCAUGUUGUCUUCAAUUUAAAUGUAUGCACUUAGCCUUCAAAUAAUCACCAUAUAUUAUUAGCUGUUAAAGGGUUUAUUGGACAUCUUUUUCUCUGUGUGUGUUUGUUUAUAAUUGUAAACUCUUUAAAAUUCUCUCUCUCUCUGUGUGUAUAAGUUUUUAGUUUGUUUAUUUAACUGAUAUGAUGUCAAAAUGGUAAAAAAUAUUUUAAAAUUCUGAUACAAUGGUCAUUAGUUUGAAGAAACAAAAAAUUUUAAAUCUAUUUUACAUGGGGGACAUAUUUUUGUUUUAAUCUAAUUCACAUUUUUUCAAACUAAUACAUGCAUAGAAAUUUGCUGCUCCAAAUGUUGACAUGCAGUGUUAAAAUGUAUACAUUACAGGACAGUGUAUACUAAAUGUUUAUAUUACUGCAAAUUAUUAAAAUGCUUUAUUUUAGAAAACAUUUCUUUAAAAAACUCAAAUAAUAGGCUAAAUAAAAAUGUGUAUGCAAGGAAAUAUAUAUGAAAAUGACUAUGAACUUUCAUCCAGAUUGAUGCUAGACAGAUGCAAAAAUGAAAAGAAUGAACUGCGUACUUGUAAGAUAAUAAACUAAGAAAAAACAAAAUUGAUAAGAUUCAUCUAUUUUUAACCUGUGUACACAAUCUAGCAUUCUACUGCAAGAGCUGUCAUGAUAAGGACACACAGAUAUUUCACAAAAAUGUCUUAGACUGCAGAGAAGGAAUAAGUAAGUCCACAUGAUUUCACUUCCUUUUGAGUGAAUAGCCUCAGAGCAGCGAGAACUCUUACAACUUGUUAAAUACAAUAUGAUUCUAACUCCGAGACCAGAAUUUAAUUUUUCUGUAUUUGGAAAUUCUAUUGCAAAAGUAUAAUUUCAAAGACAUCAAAACAAGCCAUAAAAUGGCUACUUUUAUUAGCCAACUAAAUAUAUCAUUCAAGCUUUAGAAGCUCUACUGGCAUCUUCAUUAGGCAAAGAUGUUAAAAAUGAUACAGGGGAAGAAAUGUGAUGAUGUUGCAAUCACAAUGCCACAUUUUGUCUCAGAUAUUAAUUUUUGACUGCUAGCAACAGGAAAGUCAUUUGAAGCUCAACCAUGAAAUAACAAGACCCCCUUAGCCACAAAAAGAUUUAGGCAGCUACCUACCCGCCCCAGAUCUAGGUAAGAUUGGUCUCUAGACCAAAUUUCCGGUUAUCCAAGAAAAUCGUAUUUCUUUCUGUAAGUAAAUGAACAUCAUCAGCUCUGUAAAACUCUGGCCUUGUGAAAUCUAUAUCAUUUUCCAUCAUGUCCACCAUUGCCUUCCUCAUGGCACAAUAAUUUUUUUCUUUAUGUGUGGUCAAAGUGCAAGGAUUGCAUUUCCCUAUCCAAGCUUGACAGGGCAGGAUAGCUAAUAAUUCAACAAUAACCCCAGGUCAACUGCUUUGAAUAUAUUGUAUUGUAUUUGUUCGAAUCUAGUGUGCCAUUGAAUCUAAAGCGCACCUCAAAUUUGAAACAACAACAACAAAACAACUUGCUGGUGAAUGUAAUGCACCCCUCCUCUUCCUUGUCUGCUCCUGUUGGGAAGAAGUGACAACAAUGCACAUGUUCCAUUUCUCCCUCUUUUCCCCCUCAUUGCCUCUUAGCUGGCACU
ensembl:lncRNA